rnacentral:rRNA from 1 species
GACGAACGCUGGCGGCGUGCUUAACACAUGCAAGUCGAACGGAAAGGCCCUGCUUUUGUGGGGUGCUCGAGUGGCGAACGGGUGAGUAACACGUGAGUAACCUGCCAUUGACUGUGGGAUAACUUCAGGAAACUGGGGCUAAUACCGGAAAGGAGCUCCUGCUGCAUGGUGGGGGUUGGAAAGUUUCGGCGGUUGGGGAUGGACUCGCGGCUUAUCGGAUUGUUGGUGGGGUAGUGUAUUAGCAAGGCUUUGCGCGGUAGCCGGCCUGCGAGGGUGGCCGGCCACACUGGGAUUGGACUGCGGCACAGACUCCUCCGGGAGGCGGCAGUGGGGAAUAGUGCACAAUGGGAGGAAGCCUGAUGCAGCAACGCCGCGUGCGGGGUGACGGCCUUCGGUUUGUAAUCCGCUUUCGCCUGUGACGAAGCGUGAGUGACGGUAAUGGGUAAAGAAGCACCGGCUAACUCCGUG